GGACCCGUAGUUUAAUGGAUAGAAUAAAGGAUUCCGGUUCCUUCGAUCAGGGUUCGAUUCCCUGCGGGUUCACCA
rnacentral:tRNA from 1 species